rnacentral:rRNA from 1 species
UACAGAGGUCUCAAGCGUUGUUCGGAUUCAUUGGGCGUAAAGGGUGCGUAGGCGGCGUGGUAAGUCGGGUGUGAAAUCUCGGGGCUUAACUCCGAAACUGCAUUCGAUACUGCUGUGCUUGAGGACUGGAGAGGAGACUGGAAUUUACGGUGUAGCGGUGAAAUGCGUAGAUAUCGUAAGGAAGACCAGUGGCGAAGGCGGGUCUCUGGACAGUUCCUGACGCUGAGGCACGAAGGUCAGGGGAGCAAACGGG